AGGAAAAAUGAGUUUUAAAAAAAUUCUUUCUUCAGUCGAGCUCUCUUAAUUUCUGGUGUUUUAUAACAGAGGAGCUUAGUAGUGCAAACUUAACUAUUUGGUGACGUAAUUAAAGUGAAAAAAUGUGAAAAAUAUAGAGAAAAAUUGCGUGAAAUGGAAUCAAAAAUGUUUCACCAUCUAAUUGUGUUCCUCGUAAGUUUAUGUUUGGACCAGGUUUCAUUGAAGAGCAGCAACGAGGUUCAGGUGCAGGAUUCAAGCCUGAUGAUCCAUAAGAAGGUUUACAACUACAAGGAAUUGUCUCCGAUCUCAAAUGAGAUAUUUCCAGAUCAGAUCAUGACAAGUUUUCAAG